ensembl:lncRNA
GCGACUCUAGGUCUUACAGGAACGCGCUCACCGGCCAAGCACACGCACUGUCGUGUAUGCAAGGUCCGAUCACUUCUGACACCAGUGUAAUGAAACAGGCAUGGAGCACGUCUCGAACCCUCGACCUUCGAGCCCGCGGUCCGGCGCGCUAUCGACUGUGUCGCAAAAGCAUGUUCGAGCGGCAGCGUCGAUUUCCGCUGAAAACCCAGGGUCGUCACACUACUGAAGUAUCAAAAGUAAAUGUAGCCUAUAAAUAAUUUCAAAUUCCAUGUAUUAACAAAACCAGAAGGCACAAUGUUCUUGUUGUUUUAAUUUACGGAUAGCCAGGAGCACACUCCAACACUUUUACAAACAAAGUGUGUGUGUUUUGUGAGUAGGGCCAUCAGAGGCAGUAAGGAUGACCAGAGCUGUUCUCUUGAUAAGUGCGUGAAUUGGACAAUUUUCCUGUCCUGCUAAGCAUUCAAAAUGCAACAAGUACUUUUGGGUGUCAGGGAAGAUGUUUGAAAUGAAAAGUACAUUAUUUAGGGCCUCCCCAUAGGCGCAGCAAUCUAAGCAUCACUACAGCCUGGGGUUCGAUUCCAGGCUGUGUCAUUACCGGCUGUGACCGGGAGUCCCAUAGGGCGGUUCACAAUAUGCCCAGCAGGUUAGUGCAGGGUUUUGGGGAGGCUUUACUUGGCACAUCUUGCUAUCUAGCCUGCAGGCAGACCUCUGUUGUCAGUUGAACAGUGUAUCCUCUGACAUGUUGGUGCAGCUAAAAAGUAAAAGUACUACUUGAGUAGUUUUUGGGGGGAUUUGUACUUUAUUAAGGUACUUUACACCACUGGUAAAUAGUACCCACAGAGAUCCUUUUUGGUAAUCUACCUUUCUACCUCACUGACAGUCCAUUCAAUCUGAUGUGAAUUCCAUAAUACAUGGUAAUGUGGCAUUUGUUUGUUUGUUUGUCCAGUUUCUCUUCUCUCUAGAAGAGGAAUGGUUUGGAGCAACCCAUCCUGGAGUGGGAUGGGAGCUCACUCUCCCUGCUGCCCUGGUUGUUUUUGGUGUGAUAUUACUAUGGAGGACCGUCCUUGCGAUCAAAAGCAGGAUACGUCUAUUGACUGAGACACAGCUAAACGUGAAACUCGCCCAGCUA